AAAAAAUAGAAUAAAUAGAGAAAUUUCAAUACCCAAUUACAUUAUUCUGUAGCCCUAAUUUUGUAAAAAAUCUGGAACCUAAUAUAUUAACCACGAAUCCCUAUAUAUAUAUAUAUAUAUAUAUGUGUGGGGUGGUGUUGUCUGUUGUGAUACGUACGUAUGUAUAGAGAGGGGGCAUGGGAAAGGACAUGAGUGCCCCUAUGCCAAUAAUCUGGGACUGGGUGAACUUUAAUGGUGAACAAGGAAACACAGAGAGGAUUCGAGGGUCCGCGGAAGGAUUGCGUAAGGUCGGGUUGGAUCAAGUGUUGCGCCUCGGAGAAGAAAAUGCUUGUUGGAAAAAGCAAUAAAUAUGCUGAGCGUGCUACAGACCCCCAAGAAUGGCCAGGCACUUGUAGGUCAAAACAAAGGGGAGAAGCUUUGGAGGGCUGUUUCAGCAAUUCGCUAACGAUUUGGCUCAAAAAUGGCUGAUAGCGAUCCUCUUGGGUGCUCGAAUCACUGUAACAAAAGGGUACAGCAAAAAUUGGAAUUUGAAAAUGUCAAACAUCAUGAUGUAAUUACAUAUGAAAAUCCCGAUUCUUUCCUAGCAACUAUGAACUUAGUAGUCUACUAUUUCAACGCAAGAAAUAUAAACCAGAACGUUUUUCUAGAGUGUGGACUGUUGACCAAAGUUGUCAAUCCAAUACAAGAAAAUAUAUCAGUUUUGGCUAUAAGUAUGGUACAUUGGUACGUUUUGAUUAGCAAUGUUGUUACUAGUGCAUCAUUUUCAAUUAUCGUUGUAUACAUAUAAACAUUUUCUAUAAUUUCUCUAAGUAAGGGACUGUAAACUGUAAAUACCAUUAUUUUAACACAUAUCCCAGUUUGAAAAAUUCGAAACAAGAAUUUAUCAAAAGUAUCUUCUUAAACACUUUAGGCUUUAAAAUUAUUUAAAAAAAAUUCUUUUAACACUCCAAAAAUUUAUGAAAUAUGAUGUCUACCUGCAUGGGGCGGUUAUGGGUAUAGGCGGAUUUUGUACAAGAUUGACAACUAUGCCCUAGACAUUUAUUGGGAUUAGUCGUUGUGUAUUUGGGUUAGAGAUUGCAAAGUCGGCUUGAAACCGUUAGGGGUACUUGUUUGUUUUUCAAAAUUUAGUUUUUACCAAUUGCGGAGGAAAACAAGUAUUCUGAAUAUUUUAAAAGUUAAUUUCUGAAAAAAUAAUUUGAAAAGACAAAAAAACGAACCCAAGGCAAACCUUGCUUUUGAAUUCAUAAAGAGGAAAUGAAAAGAAAUAAUUUUUCUCGUCCUUUUGGUUUUUUUUACCUCUUUAGGUCCGGUCUCGUCAUUAAUUGUUUUGGAAGAGAAUACAUGAUAUGAUGAAAUUACAAUGGACAAGGAAUUACCUGAUAGUGAUGAAAUUACAUGUCAUUUCAUCCACACAUGUAUAGCCUGCCAUUAAUUCGAAGAAGAAAAAGGGAAAAAAACAAGAUAGAAUUUGUUAAAGGGAAAAACCAACAGUAAAAAUCGAUGAUGGAAAUGAGGUCUCCGAGCAAAAUUUACUAGGGUUUUGUUUGCAAAUUAUUUGAGAGUCUGAAUAGCUGAUUAGGUCCCUCUCUUUUUAAGGGACUUAACCUAUAGGACCAACGUUAGGAAUCCCUGCCAUGCCAGAGCCAGGCACGGCCUGAGAUUUUUGGGGGCCCUGAAGACAAAAAUCGAUUGGAGCUCUUUCAUUUUAAAGAAACGGUUCAUUCCAAACAAAAAAAAAUUAACAACAAAUCAUGCAAAAUCAACAAAAACUACACAAAAAAAUAUUAAAAUCAUCAAUAAAAUCGUUUGUAUCUUUCUCUUCUCCUCACCAAACAAACCACGAAACACUUCAAUUUCCUCACCUCCCAUCUUCACACUCUCGCAAGAAAUGCCUCAAAUCCUCUGAAAUCUGCAAUGAUCGGCGAAUGUUACCAAAAAGUCCGAAACCAAGACCAGAUUGAACAUUAAUUGAAUUUUUCGUGAAAGUUCAAUAGAAUAGCUCAUUUUUCUUCAAUUUCACAGCGUAAUGCAGCUGCCAAAAGCCCUAAUUAAUUUUAUUAGUUAGUUGGGGCCAUUUCGACUAAAUAUUUAGUAUGUAUUGGGUUUGGGGGCCUCUUUUUGGGUUUUUUUUUUUUUGGGGGGAGGGGCCCCUAGCCCAAGGACACGCGCUCGACAGUGAGAGAUCCAACAUGCCCAAGGGCGGUGCUGAACCGGACCAGGAGGCAGAUGCCAGCAGCAGCACCCCACACAUUGGACGGGCAGGUGAAGUGACAUCUCACGACACACGUAGAUGGAUGCCAGGUAGUGAGAGACGAGGUUAUUGGGGCCACAUGAACCCUUGUGAUGAUCUGAAUCGAUCACUGUGUAAGACACGAUGAAAGAUCUCAUGAAAAAAAACCACAAUCGAUUGAAUAUUAGAAGUACAUGAUCUAAUCACAUUUGUUAUUUAAGGAAAUGAUGCAUGGUCUAUUAUGAAAGGACCAAACUUCGUAAAGUUUAGGUUUUUAAACUUUACAGUAAAAUGUAACAAGUGUGGGCUCACUUGACCUACAUGGAUGAUCCGAAAUAACUAUUUGAGGAGCGUGCAUUUAUCAUGUAUGCAAAAAAUCAAGUUACGGGUAUGCUAGCCACAGGAUUGGAGGGAUUUUGUCGGCAUAAACAAGCAUUAAUUUCAAUUAUACUGUCUAAUUUUUUUUUAAGACUAAUAUGAUUCGAUAAUGCGGGACUACAGAUUUCGAUUAAUCAGAUUGUUCUUUUUGCAAUGAUGUUCUCUCAGUGGUUUUACAAAACAAACUUCGGAUGAAUUUUUUUUUUAAUCGGCCCCACAUUUUACCAACUUUACUCUAAAAGAAAUCAUAACUUUAGAGAAGCAAAUUCUAGAAAUAUCAUACUUGAUUAAAUCAUAAUUGUCAGUCUGCAUAAAGAGAUCCAAUUUAGUGAGGUUGACACUAUCUGUUUCAAAACUAUUUUUCUUGCAUUAGAUGAUUCUUAUCGCAGUUUUCUAUAAGAUGAGCGAUUCAGAAAAAGGCCUAACCUGGGGAGUGACUUCUGAAACUAGACCUUCUACUAGUCACUUUUUGGUGAGUGCUACAUAACUGACAAUUCAACCCCUAUGUAGCAGGCCAAUAAGUUCUUAGACGAGCGAUUUGAAUUUGAGAUGUCUGGAUGGAAGUGCUAAUGUUCGGAUGGCAGACUUCUAACCCCCCAAAUUUUUGUCAUUCAAACUAACUCCAAUUAUUAGACGAGCAAUUCAGAUAAUCAAUGUACGUUCCAAUAAGUCCACAACUUGCUAACUUUUAUGGUUGGUCUCCUCACUCUCUCUCUAUAUAUAUUACAUGUGUAUUGCACUUAUUUAUGGAGGCCAUAUAUAUAAGUCUUAUCAAAAAGUCCGGAGCCCAUGACCCUGCUCAAUGGUUUUUGACCCGGUCCAUGGUUCAGAGGGCCCAAGGCCAUGAUAGUAUGGGCUGCGGAUUCCACAUGUGGCCCAUGGACAAAAAUUCGUUAGGUUUGUCCUGUAACCCAACUUGAAGGCAUUAAUUUUUUAAAUAAUUUUUAUAUGUAAACAAUCAUAUAAAUUAAUUUAUUAAUUACGCAUUAUUUUUUUUCAAUCUUUGACAUAUUUGUAAUUUUUUAAUUUUAAAAUAAAAUAUAUUUUAAAAACUAUGAUUUAAAGCCCUUGGGCUCCAGCCCGGCCCCGUCUUGAUCGCGUACGCUCAGGCCCUCUUCGGCCAUUCAACGUGUCUUGUUUGUCCCGGACUAGGCGGGAUUGGACUUCUGGGGACUCGUUGAUCCCGUUCUGUGCGCUUGGUUUACAACAAAAAAUGACUCCGAACAAAUAGUCGAACUGUGAACUAAAGAGCUCCCUCUUACGUUACUGACUAUUUCUAGUUCCCGGGGUUGGGGGGUGGGACACUUUAUCCAUGUACUAAGCUAAGUUGGACACAAGAGAGUAAAUUACUUAUUUUCCCCUCACUCAUAACAAAAACCCCUCAUCUCUUAUACCAAUCGCACAUCAGAACACACAGAAGACCACGUAGACGACAACCAGCCUCACCAACCGUACCCAUCGAGUACGACACACACAACCCAGUCUCUCCUCCUCCUCGUGCGUACUGGCAAAGAGGACCGCGGCCGAAGACUGACAGACGAAGAAGACGAUCUCGCUCGAGCGGCUAUGAGGAUCGACGAUCGACGAAUCUACGAGCUCCUCGCCGUACGACUAAACCUCCUCCUCCAUCGGCGAAGACGACCUCGGACCUCCUCGACGAUGAACGACACCAACUGUUCGAUUAUAUUGGCUCUUCUAGAUAGACCCAAACCAAGUCUUCCUCUGGCAGGCAGCUAAUGUCCUCCUUGUGCUGCUACCUGCCCAAAUUGUCUCCAUACUUGCAUCGAUAUAAGUCUCCUUUGCACUGAUAAAUUCUCCAUUUUUCAACAUGUAACUAUCUCAUGGCUGAGCUCAGCUUAUCUUCUCAAUUUGCCUCAUAAAGAGAGAGGUUUGCUGUGAUUUAAAGCAGAGAAAAAUCAGAUGAAGAGUAGAAGGGCAGAGAGCUUGAGAGAAUUCCGCUCAAAUUGUUACUUUGUCAUUUUGUUUCCAUCUCCAUAUACUAGAAUUGCUAGCCAAAUCAAACCCGAGGACGUAGGCAACAUUGCCGAUACCUCGUAAAUUGUGUGUUGUGUUGGAUUUGUUAGUGUGGUUAUCAGAAUAUUGGUUAUUCCGCAUGAACCAAUUGGGUACACAUAGAUCAAAUCGGCGUUUCGACCUCUGUAAAAGUUGGUCGAAUUGGAUUCUGAUCGCACACCUGUUUCGUUUCCUCCUCGAGACGAACUCCGCGCAUCAACCGCGUCGCAAAUGGACUCCGAACUAGCUCAGCCGAGUUGCGUGAAGUCGGGGAACGCAAGACCUGUGUUUCGUCGUCUCUGUUCGUUUCUCUGUAAAUUUGAGGAUGCAAACUUGUUCAUUGGUAAAUUACACUUUCAACCCUGAAGUUUUCUGUAUUUAUAUUUUGGUUCCUUAAAUUUUUAUAUUACAGUUUGCGUUCCCCUUGUAUUUUUCGAAAAUUAUGUUUGGUCCUCUGUAUUUUAGAAAUUAUAGUUUGGUCCUUGAAGUUUUACAAAAUUAUAAUUAGUCCCUGUAACCUUUUUGGAUAAAUUGGUAUUUUAGGUCCCUGAAAUUACUAAAAAAAGCAGAUUUGGUCCCCAGGUAGUUUUCAUUUGACAAUUGGCCCCAGAAGUUUUCUGAUUGUGACAGAUUGGCUCUCUAAACGCUUGUGAUUUUUUCAGUUAACCCUUCUUAAGUUUUGUUGUCACAGCAUUCCGGACUCCUUGUGGGGUCAAAAUUUGCAUAUUUUUGAUCUAUAUAUCAGUUUGGGUGGAGUUUUUGAAGUAGUUGCUUAGCUAUGGGAAGAAGAUAAAAUCACUAGACCACUAAGCACUCUCCACUAAGCAUUUCCUCCGGUAGCUCUGGGCAUAAGGACUAACAUGUCCAAUGCAAAUUGAAGUUAAAAAAUUUGAUGGGACAAUAUAACUUUGGCAUGUUGCAAUGCAAGUUUUGGUGGCCUACUUCAACAGACUUGAAUAUUCUCGGAGGCCAAGCCAAAUUACUGUUCAGAUAAAGAUUGGACAAAAUUGAUCGUCAGCUUGUCGUACGAUCAAACUUUGUCUUGUCAAAAGACCAGAAGUACUUUGUUAUGAAGGAGACUCAGCAAAAGAAUUGUGGGGCAAACUCGUAGAACAAUACAUGACCAAAAGCGUUGAGAACCGGCUCUAUCUGAAGAAGAAACUCUUCCGAUUCCAAUUCAGCAAGGUACGUCAAUGCAGAGCAUUUAAAUGCAUUUAAUAAAAUUUUGGCUGAUUUUCAAAAGUUAACGUAGAAGAUGACGAUGAGAUAAGCUCUUAUGCUUAAAUUGCCUUGCCUGAUACUUAUGAGCAUUUGACUACUACUACUGUGCUGAUGGUAAAGAUUAAAUUAAGGUUAUCACCGAUGUUUUCAAAAUGGCUUUAUGAACAAUGAGGUGAAGAAAGAAGGAUCAAGACGCUCACCGGAAUCAAGUUCAAAUGCAUUGAUAGCAGGGUAGGACGAUACCCUUAAAAUCUGAGAGGGGAUUGAAGUUCUCGCCUUCCAAAAAUCAAGGAGAAAAUCAUCCGAGAGACGGCAGCUUUGCAAAGGAUGAGUGUGGCCUAUUGUCCAUCAGAAAGGCCACUGGAGAAAAUAUGGCCCAAAGAUGGAAAGCAAAGAACUAAGGCGAACAUAGCUCAUGAUGCAGUCGAGAAAGUGACACUACUGCAUUUACGGUUUCUUUGUCUGUUAGCCAUGCUGACGAAUUGAUUUUAGAUUUUGGUUGUCUAUCAUAUGUGUCCCUCAUAGGACUGGUUUUUCCCUCGUAGUCUUUUGAGAGCUCGAUUGAGGAGUUGUUCUAAUGGGAAAUGACAACGCCUGCAAAAUGAUGAUAAUUGGCACAAUCAGAUUGAAGAUGUUCAGUGGAACCGCAAGGUUUCUUACUGAUGUCGCUAUGUACCAGAUUUGAGAAAAAUCUUAUUUCAUUGGGAGAUUUUGAUUCAAGGGUACAGUUAUCUUGGAAGGUGGAGUUCUGAAGGUUUGUUCGUGUGCUCUAUGUUAUUUUGAGGCACUCGUAGAGGAAAUCUCUACUUUCUCGAUGGGAGUACUAAUCACAGGGAAUCUGGCCUUGUCUCCACCAGUUCAGACGAAUCAGACACUUCCAGAUUUGGCAUAGGCUAUUGGGGCGAUACGGGAGAAAAACUUCAAACUUUGGUACGGCACGGAGUUCUGAAAGGAGCUAAUACUGGAAAAAUUGAUUCUGUGAGCAUUGUGUGCUUGGCAAGCAGACGGGGUGAAGUUUGCACAACAAUUCAUCAACUGAAGGCAUUUUGGAUUAUGUUCAAUUCCGAUGUCUGGGGGUCCUCAAAAAUGCAUCUUUGGGAGCUCACGCUAUUUUGUAACCUUCUUGAUGACUUUUCCAGAAGAUUUGGGUAUACACUAUGAGGCACAAGGAUGAAGUCCUGUGAAUCUUCUGAAAUGGAGAAGAUGAUCUAAAUCCAACUGUUAUAAAGAUCAAGAAGCUUCAGAUCUGAUAUGGUGGAGAUACAGGUCAGAUCCUUUCUUCGAUAUUUGUUCCUAAGAGGGAUUGUGAGACACUUUACUAUUAGGGGCCCGCCGCAACAGAAUGAUUUUGCAGAAGGAUUAACCGCACCUUAGUAAGAUAAAGUUCGAUGUAUGAUAGCAAUGCUGGUUUGAGCAAAGCAUUUUGGGCUGAAGCAAUAAACUAUCCCGCACACCUUAUCAACAGACAUUCCCUUCCACGGCUAUUGAAGAAAACUCCUAUGGAGGUAUGGUCAGGAAAAUGUGCUAUUGAUUAUGAUGUCUGCACAUAUGGUAUGUCCUGCAUACGUUCAUGUAAGGACGUAAGUUUGGAUCCCAGAGGCUAAGAAGCUAUCUUUGUAGGCUUAGCACGGGAUCAAAGAUACGACAUGGUGUCCCGA
rnacentral:lncRNA from 1 species